rnacentral:lncRNA from 1 species
GGUUGUGGCGUAGUUUAAGCAGAGAGGGUGCGCAGGAUAAAGCUAUUCACCAUUGUUUCAACAUGAAGGUUUGUAAUAAAAAUUUGUUUCUAUCAGCAUUGCUUUGCAUUGCUGUUGCAGGAGUUUUGGGUCAAGCUCCUAGUAAUCCUCCUACGUCUACGCCGGCGCCACCCACACCACCGGCUUCUACUCCUCCUCCGACGACUCAAGCACCGCCUACACCAACCGCCACUCCGCCACCGGUUUCUACUCCUCCUCCCACUUCAUCACCGCCCCCAGUGACAGCUUCUCCACCCCCAGUUUCAACUCCUCCACCCAGUUCUCCUCCUCCUGCAACUCCACCACCUGCUUCUCCUCCUCCUGCAACUCCACCUCCAGCUUCUCCACCUCCUGCCACUCCUCCACCAGCUUCUCCACCUCCCGCCACUCCACCACCUGCAACCCCACCGCCAGCAACUCCUCCUCCUGCUACCCCACCACCAGCUCCAUUGGCUUCUCCUCCAGCCACAGUCCCAGCUAUCUCUCCAGUACAAACACCAUUGACAUCGCCACCAGCUCCGCCGACCGAGGCCCCAGCACCUACCCUCGGGG